UACAGAGGGUGCGAGCGUUAAUCGGAAUUACUGGGCGUAAAGCGCACGUAGGCGGCUUUGCAAGUCAGAUGUGAAAUCCCCGGGCUUAACCUGGGAACUGCAUUUGAGACUGCAUUGCUAGAGUAUGGGAGAGGGCAGUGGAAUUUCCGGUGUAGCGGUGAAAUGCGUAGAUAUCGGAAGGAACAUCAGUGGCGAAAGCGACUGCCUGGACCAAUACUGACGCUGAGGUGCGAAAGCGUGGGGAGCAAACAGG
rnacentral:rRNA from 1 species